CGCCGGGUUUUGGGCCCAGAAACGCGGGUUCGAUUCCCGCUGGC
rnacentral:tRNA from 1 species